ACUCAAAUGAAUUGACGGGGGCUCACACAAGCGGUGGAGCAUGUGGCUUAAUUCGAGGCUACGCGAAAAACCUUAUCCCGGGCUUGACAUGCACGGAUUAGCCGGCGGAAACGUCGGCGAGGCCGCAAGGUACAACGUGCACAGGUGCUGCAUGGCUGUCGUCAGCUCGUGCCGUGAGGUGUUGGGUUAAGUCCCGUAACGAGCGAAACCCCUGUCCCUAGUUGCUAGCGGGUCAUGCCGAGCACUCUAGGGAGACCGCCGGCGUCAAGCCGGAGGAAGGCGGGGACGACGUCAAGUCCUCAUGGCCCUUAUGCCCGGGGCCGCACACGUGCUACAAUGGGGCGCAACAGAGCGACGCGAGGCCGCAAGGCGGAGCCAAUCGCAAAAACCGCCCCCCAGUUCGGAUUGCGGGCUGCAACCCGCCCGCAUGAAGCCGGAAUCGCUAGUAAUCGCGGAUCAGCAUUGCCGCGGUGAAUGGGUUCCUGAGCCUUGUACACACCGCCCGU
rnacentral:rRNA from 1 species